rnacentral:rRNA from 1 species
UACGAGGGGGGCAAGCGUUGUUCGGAAUCAUUGGGCGUAAAGAGCGUGUAGGCGGCUUGGUAAGUCCGCUGUGAAAGUCCAGGGCUCAACCCUGGAAAGCCGGUGGAAACUGUCAAGCUUGAGUCCGGAAGAGGCGAGUGGAAUUCCUGGUGUAGCGGUGAAAUGCGCAGAUAUCAGGAGGAACACCAAUGGCGAAGGCAGCUCGCUGGGACGGUACUGACGCUGAGACGCGAAAGCGUGGGGAGCAAACAGG